CUACUUUCUAUGAUGUAAUCUGAGAAGUUGAGCUCCGAGAGAGGGUCCGAUUGGCCAAAUCGAUAAUUCCCUCCCAGGGACUCCACCCUUCCUCCUCCCUCCUCCCUUACCCAAGGGCUAUAAAAGAGCUGAGCCAGAGACCUGGAUGCUUUCUACACCUGGAUCUGCUGGCGAAGCUUUGAAGAUGAGCGUACUUGAGACAAGGCGACCUGGGAGAGUGCCUGCUGGGAGUCCUUAG
rnacentral:lncRNA from 1 species